CAUAUUGGAGAGUUCAGUACGUUCCGAGCGCUCGUGGGCGACGUUUCGUAGCCGCUUGCAUUCCACGCGCAAACGCCGAACUCGAGAAUACACCUCUCCACUCAACUUACUUGCAUUUCUCAUAGGAAAAGCCGGUCGGUAAAUAAAACAUACAUACUUUAAUACAUUAAAUCAUCAUUCAGAGAUGUGAAUGAUUCCACAGAAAGAGACCAUCAGAUUCGUUUCGUCGGAUGUGAAAUUCGAUCAGUGAUUUUUGCAGUGCAGUUUUUUUUUUGUUGUUGUUGUGUGUUGUGGUUGGUGUUUGGAGCCUACUUGGAUACAACAGCAAGUUCAUAUUCCCAAUGCCAAGGCAGAAGAAGUACGUCCAGUUUUAGGUAAACUUUUGCGAUCUGCGCUGUCUGCGUUUCUCCCUCGCUGUGAAAGGGGGAUAGCGAGCAUCCAGAGACAGCGAGACCGUACUCUUGUACUUCUUCUUCUUCUACUUCCUAAUACGAGCGUCCAUCCACAAACGCCAGAUAUCAUCGUCAUCGCCCGAAGAUGGGGACUUGGAUGAGCGGCGCUGCGGCCAUCUACUGGACCUUCCUCAUCUCUUAUACUUACGGUGAGUGUAAUU